AUUCCCCCUCGGUGAGGCAGCUCCUAGCCUGGCCCCAGGAAGGAGCCCGUGCUGUGGUGGGAUAAAGCCAGAACAGGCAGCCUACACCUGGAAAUCACAGGAAAAGCCAGAGUGUCUCUGAGGUCCAGUAAAGACUUUUAUAUGGAGCAGAUGAGAGCCAGAGAGGAGUGAUGCAAUGGAAGCUGGAAGGAUCAGCAGCUGGUAGCACCAACACCUCUGGUGACUGGUAAGGCAAAUGUAAAUCUGAUUGCCCUGACCCCUGACUU